rnacentral:rRNA from 1 species
ACUCGAGUGGCGAACGGGUGAGUAACACGUGGGUGAUCUGCCCUGCACUUCGGGAUAAGCCUGGGAAACUGGGUCUAAUACCGGAUAGGAGCCAUUUUUAGUGUGAUGGUUGGAAAGUUUUUCGGUGUAGGAUGAGCUCGCGGCCUAUCAGCUUGUUGGUGGGGUAAUGGCCUACCAAGGCGGCGACGGGUAGCCGGCCUGAGAGGGUGUACGGCCACAUUGGGACUGAGAUACGGCCCAG